GGAGAACACACCUCCCACUCCCCGCCCUCCGGUCCCUCCAGCACUGCUGCUUCGCAGUCACUUCCCGCUCAGGCUGAGGGGCGUGGUCUGAGGGGCGAGAUCCUCCGUGGCUUUGGGGACUAGGCCGGGCCCCUGCACCGGAAGGGAGGGCGGAAGCCAAGGGACGUGGAGCGGAGGGUGAGGGUAGCGGGUAGGCGGCCGCGGGGGAUGGCCUGAAGAAAAAGUCCGGGUGAUUCGCCCCGCGGGGUAGAGGUACUUGGACCCAGGCGCCUCGUCUGGUCCAGGGAGUUAGAGGGAAGAAAAUAGCGCCCUCUCAUGACGGAGGGAGAUCUGAGUUGAGGGGAGAAGGCUGAGGUGCACCGACAUGGCCGAGGUGAGGGCGCUGAGGUCAGCCUGAGCUGAGAGGGCAGGCAGAUCAACCCUCAACCGAAGUGAACGAACUCAAGUGAGCUCUUCUCUUCUUUGGGAAAUUACUCCAGGAUUUGAAUGGUCACAAGAGAUUCACCAGAGGAUUUUAUACACUUGGUCUGUGGCAGCAGAUUAAUUACACCACAACACCAGUUCUGGAGGCUAGAGGAAGUCCAAGAUCAAGAUGUUAGCAGGGUUGGCUUCUCCUCAGGACCAUGAAGGAAGGGUCUGUUCCAGGCCUCUGGCUUUGACUUGUAGGUGACCAAAGCAUUAUUCACAGUCCACAGAUGAAUGUACAUCUGUACCACAAGCUACCCCUCCUUCCUGGCUGAGAGGACUUCAAGGUGUACUGCUAAAACUUCUGCCUGCUGGAAGUUUCUUCACCAUUUCCCUUCAGCAGCAUCUCUGAGUGAGUAUACUGGUACUAGUGUCAUGUGGACACCCUUCUGUAAACCAGGCCCAAGUUGGUAUAAAAAUCUUUUAAAUUUUUCAUUUAGAAAAUUUUAAAUUGACACAUAAUAAUUGUUCAUAUUUAUGAGGUACAUAGCUAUGUUGUGAUACAUACAAUGGAUAGUGAUCAAAUCAGGGUAAUUAGCAUAUCCAUCACCUCAAACAUUUCUCAUUUCUUUGUGUUGGGAAUAUUCAAUAUCCUUUUUCUAGCUAUUUGAAACUAUAAGAUACUGUUAAUUAUAGUUAUUCCAUAGUAGCAUAGAACACUAUAACUUAUUUCUCCUAUCCAUUUGUAUCCUUUAACAAAUCUCUAUCUCCCUCUUCCCCCUACUCUUCUCAGCCUUUAGUAUCCUUUAUUCUACUUUUUAAUUCUAUGAGAUCAACUUUUUUUAGCUUCCACAUAUGAGUGAGAACAUGCAGUAUUUGACUUUCUGUUCCUGGCUUAUUUUGCUUACUAUAAUGUCCUCCAUUUUCAUCCAUGUUGCCCUGAAUUACAGGAUUUUAUUCAUUAUUAUGGCUGAAUAGUACUCCAUUGUAUAUUUAUAUACCACAUUUUUCUUAUUCAUCCAUCUGUUGUUGGACACAUAGGUUGAUUCCAUAUCUUGGCUCUCAUGAUAGUGCUGAAGUAAAGAUAGGGAUGCAGGUUUCUCUUCAAUAUGUUGAUUUCCUUUCCUUUGGGUAAAUACCUAGUAGAGGAAUUUCUGCAACAUAUUGUAGCUCUACUUGUAGUCUUUUGAGGAAUCUCCAGACUGUUCUCCCUACUGGCUGUACUAGUUUACAUUCCCACCAAGUGUAUGAGAGUUCCCUUCUCUCUGCAUCCUUGCCAGCAUUUUUAUUCGUUUAUAAUAGCCAUCCUAACUGGGUGAGAUGUUAUAUCAUUGGGGUUGUGAUUUGCAUUUCCCUGAUAAUUAGUGAUUUGAGCAUUUUUUCAUAUACCUGUUGGUCAUUUGUAUGUCUUCUUUUGAAAAAUGUCUGUUCAGAUCACUUGCCCAUGUUUUAAUCAUAGUGUUUAGUUUUUUUUAAUUUUUAUUUUUUGCUGUUGAGACAUUUAAGUUCCUGUGUGUUCUGGAUGUCAAUAUCUGGUCAGAUGAGUAGUUUGCAGAUAUUUUCUCCCAUUCUGUAAGUUGUCUUUUCAUUGUGUUGAUUGUUUUCUUUACUGUGCAGAAGCUUUUUAGUUUGAUAUAAUCCCAUUUAUUUUUGCAUUUGUUGCCUGUGCUUUUGAGGUCUUAUGCAUAAAAUAUUUUCCCAGAGCAAUGUCCUAAAGCAUUUCCCUUCUGCUUUUUUCUAGUACUUUUUUUUUCCUAGUACCUAGUCAUGUAGUCCUCAAUAAUCUAGUACUUUUAUCGUUUUGGGUUUUACACUUAGGUCUUUGAUCCAUUUUGAGUUGAUUUUUGUGUAUGGUGAGAGAUAGGAGUCUAGUUUAAUUCUUCUGUGUAUAGAUAUUCUGUCUUCCCAGCACUAGUUAUUUAUUUAUUUGAGACAUGGUCUUGCUUUAUCACCCAGACUGGAGUGCAAUGGUGCAAUCAUGGCUUUCUGCACCUCAGCUUCCCAGGUUAAAGUGAUCCUCCCACUUCAGCCUCCUGAGUCACUGGGACUAUAGGUGCAUGCCACCACGCCUGGCUGUUUUAAAAAUAUAUAUUUUGUGUGUUUGUAGAGAGGGGUCUCCCUUUGUUGCCCAGGCUGGUCUUGAACUUCUGGGCUCAAGCAAUCCUCCCUACUUAUCCUCUCAAAGUGUUGUGAUUACAGGUGUGAGCCAUCAUGCUUGGCCCAGCACUAUUUAUUGAAGAGACUAUCCUUUUCCCAAUGUAUGUUCUUUGUCCCUUUGUCAAAAAUCAGUUGGCUGUAGAUACACAGAUUAAUUUCUGGGUUCUCUAUUCUGUCUCAUUGGUCUAUGUGUCUGUUUUUUUUAAUCAGUGACAUGCUGUUUUGGUUACUAUGACUUUGUAGUAUAGUUUGAAGUCAGAUAGGAUGAUGCCUCCAGUUUUGUUUUUUUGCUUGGGUCUGCCUUGGAUAGGCAAGAUCUUUUGUGGUUCUGUAUAAAUUUUAGACUUUCUUUCUGUUUCUAUGAAGAAUAUCAUUGGCAUUUUGGGGAUAUGGCCCAAGUGUAUUUUCCCCCCUCUUUCAACAGGUCAUAAGAAACUCCCCAUAAAACCACAAAUGCUGGUUGAGGGAGAGGCCAUAAGGCAGCAGAAGUAGGUACUGUGGGGGUCUGGGCCACUUGCUCUUGUAACUUACUUGUGCUAUGAGCUUGCGUGAGAAUCUGAUCUUGCACAUACUAGGUCUAUUUACUGAUGGAUUGCUGCUGCACAACAUUAUAGCUAGGUCUUGUUCAUAAUGGGCAAAUUAGGUCAUAUAGUAGUUAGGUCAUGUAAUAGGAAUUCCAUGGUUGAACAGUGUCUACCAGGACAUAAUAGUAAGCUAUGAGCCGCUUCUUUAAGGGAGCAGAGGAGGGUAUGGUUCUGUUUGCUAGCUAUGUGUUGUGUCAUUUUCCUGCAGAGGCUUGCCAGAGGAGCUAUGUAGCACUCUUACCAGACACUUGGAGCACCACUGGGUAGACAGACUGGAGUGGCACUGCCUUGACCUAUUGUAGAGUCUUCUCUUGCUUCAGGCACCAUUCAGAAGUAGCAGCCUUACAAAUUACUUGGCACAACUAGAUCAGAGCAGAGCAUUGAAUUGUGGUUUUUGUUGCCUACAAAAUCUAAAGAGGCCCAGGACUGGCACAAUGAUCCUGAACUUGGAGAACAAGGACUGCAUAACAUUAACUAUUGAUAUAGCAGCCAGAUGUGACUUUGUUUUCCCUUCAUAUGUGGUUGUAUAUAAAACAGUACAUUUUGUUAAGUAAGAAUUUUCUGGGCUUGUGUUAUCAUAAGAGAGGUAUAUGUGUGUCCUAUAAACUGUCUGAAUAUUUCUUUCUUUCUUUUUUUUUUUUUUUUGGGGUCUACAUAGCAUCUCUUGGUCUGGGCAAACUUCCCUUCUCGAUUUUGGUGGUUCUGAUGAGUAAAGGUAAAUUACCAGAUAGCAAAGCAAGAGAGCAUUCUAGAAAAUAAGAUCAGUGAAAGCAAAGGCCUAUAGGCAUGGUGGGUUCUGGGAGCAGUAAUUAGUUCAGUUGAGUAGUAAGUAGCACUGAGGGUAAAGAAUAUAAAGAAUGGAGUGAUAGGAGAUAAAAUUGGAAAUAUUAGGUAGGGCUAUACUGGGAGGAGCUAUUUUUUUGUUUGUUUGAGACGGAGUUUGGCUCUUUUUGCCCACACCGGAGUGCAAUGGCGUGAUCUCAGCUCACCAAAACUUCUGCCUCCUGGGUUCAAGCAAUUCUCCUGCCUCAGCCUCCUGAGUAGGUGGGAUUACAGGCAUGUGCCACCACACCCAGCUAUUUUUGUAUUUUUAGUAGAGACAGGGUUCUCCAUGUUGGUCAGGCUGGUCUCAAACUCCCAGCCUCAGGUGAUCCACCCACAUCGGCCUCCCAAAGUGCUGAGAUUACAGGUGUGAACCACCAUGCCCAGCAGGAAGAGCUUUAUGUGCCAUAUAAAGAAGGUGGACAAAAUCCUAGGCUGAGGGGAAGUAGUGAUGAUUUAUUUUUUCUUUGGCAGGGCUGUGAUGUGAUCACAUCACAUUGGUGUGAAAGAUAUUUCAUGAGAGAGAAUUGGAGAUGAGUAAUACUAGGGGUAGAAUUAUUAUUAUUGAAGAUUACCAAGUAAUUCUGAAUAAAAUGAUGAGACAUAAGCUAAGUAAGGUAGGGCGAAUUAGAGGAGAAAAUGAAUUUAAAUGAUACAUAGGAAGUGGAAUUGACAGACUCAGUGGCUGACUAUAUGCGGAGUGGGAGGAGAGAACAAGAAUUUAUAUAUGUGGUUAAAAAUUUUACAGUUGCAUAACACAAUCCAGUUUGAGCUUGAGUGGGGUUCAGAGAGAUGUGGGCCUAGUGUAGAGUGACCAGCUGUUCUGGUUUAUCCAAGAUUAAGGGAUUUCAUGGGAUGUGAGACUUCCAGUGCUAAAACUGUGAAAGUCCCCAGCAAACUAGGAUAAGUUAGUCAUGCUAACCUAAUAUGAACAGUGGACAGAUUAGUGAUGGGAGCUUAUCAGCAUAAGCACUGAGACACCUUCUGGGAUAACCAUGACCUGGCAAGUGAUCCUUUAGUGGUGCAAAGAAAUGGUGGUCCUUGACAAUGGAUGGUAGCUGCCAUUCAAAUCUACUCCACAGUGGAUCCAAUCUGGGGUUCCAUAGAGAAAGGAUGUUGGAAGUAAAAUAUGAAAGAACUGUUUCACUAACUUGUGACCUGCUUUAACAGAGUAUAACUCAGAGGGGACAGAUUCUUUUUCACCAUGGACCACCUCACAGCUCUGGAAACCUGAGGGCUUUAGUACAUUGGGAAAUUCGGUUAAAUACAGGUUGGGGAGUUGCAAGGGAUGGAGAGGGUGGGGAAGAGGGAAGAGGAACUGGUAACCUGUACUGGUACACAGAAGAACUAAACUACUUAGCAGAGCAGAAUAACAUCUGUGCAUUGGGGCAUAAAUCAGUGAAAUAUGAGUUAUUACAGCAAAGGUGACAGCAGACUUUUCUUGAAGCAAUUCCUUUCAGAAGGAAAGACUAUUGAUUACUUUGUUACAUUUCUCCAUCUAGUGGUAACUCUCAUGUACUUUUUUCCUAGAUAGAUGUUUCAAAGAAGGCAGAUUAAAAACUUGAGAAAUGUUUCCAGAGUCAUCAUUUAUUCACUCAUUCAUUCAUUCACUUCACAAAUACUGAAUGAGUAUGCAUGCCUUCUAUAUGGCAGUUACAUUUCUAGCCAUUGGGGUUACGGCUGUGAACAAAACUGAAAAAACUCUGAACUCAUGGAACCUUACAAUGAUAAAAGAGUACAUUUCAUUUUUUUUCUAUGUGAAUAUUCUGUUUUCAAAGCACCAUUUACUGAAAAGAUUAUCUUU